rnacentral:tRNA from 2 species
GUAGUCGCGGCCGAGUGGUUAAGGUGAUGGACCAGAAAUCCAUUGGGGUUUCCCCACGCAGGUUCGAAUCCUGACGACUAUG